CAUUGAUAAGAAAUGUUUCUUGAACAACAAAUCUAAUCAGCAUAUUAGAAUGAUUUCUGAAGGAUCAUGUGACACUGAAGAAUGAAGACCGGAGAAUGAAAAACCGAAUCGUCCAACAAAAUGGUGACUUUAUUUCAAUGUCAAAAAAUCAGUACAUAGCACACUGAUCAGUGUGCACAUGAUAAAAGAUAUGAAAAUAUUACAACUUUAAACGUGAUUGCAAUGAAACAGCUUGUGACCUUUUUUUAAAAUAAACAAUAACACAUCCAUAAAAAAUUCUCCUUUAAGUUCAGCCAAGCUUUGCAGAAUUACAUGAUGUUAGUGUACGCAAUCUGUAGUGAAAGAUGACAGCAGAAAUGACAAUUAUUGUUGAAUGAUUAACCCCAAACUGGUUCUUUACAAACGCUACUGUACAUAGUUCUGUAAAAAGUUGCACUCUCAUGUUAACUUGAAUACAUAGUAAGAAACAAUGGCCAACCGCUUCAAAGAACAUCAUCUGUGGUUUGUUACGAUAUCUUGUUGACCCUCUCAAAUGGCCA